rnacentral:rRNA from 1 species
CCUACGGGGGGCAGCAGUGGGGAAUAUUGGUCAAUGGAGGAAACUCUGAACCAGCAACGCCGCGUGAAUGAUGAAGGUCUUCGGAUUGUAAGUUCUUUUCUAAGGGAAGAAGAAAGUGACGGUACAUUAGGAAUAAGACUCGGCUCACUACGUGCCAGCAGCCGCGGUAAUAAGUAGGAGGCGAGCGUGAUACGGAAUGACUGGGCGUAAAGGGCGCGUAGGUGGUUUGAUAAGUCGGUAGCGAAACUCCGAGGCUCAACCUCGGCACGUCAACCGAAACUGUCGGACUUGAGUGCAGGAGAGGCAAGUGGAAUUCCUAGUGUAGCGGUGGAAUGCGCAGAUAUUAGGAGGAACACCGGUGGCGAAGGCGAAUUGCUGGACUGUAACUGACACUGAGGCACGAAAGCGUGGGGAGCAAACAGGAUUAGAUACCCGGGUAGUC